UUUCAGUAGUAAAUAGGCAUGCAUGCAUUAGUUGAGUAUAAACAAUGAAAUAAAAACAAAAACAAUGAAAACCCCCUUCACGCCUUCCGCCUUCACGCAUUUCUAAUUCACAUGGCCUUACAUUUAUGGUAUUUAAAGAUAAUAAACGAUAAGAUUGUUAUACAGCGCAUAAUAAAAAUUGAGACAGCACAAAAAUUAUAGCAAUGGAAAACGGAACACAACAAACAACAACAAAAACAAGAGAUCACAAAGCGAACGUUAAGCAAACAAAUGCUGUGUGCAAAGGCAGAGAGACAGCGCGCUACACAAUUAAUUCACAGAAAAUAUUUGUCUAACUGAACUGCAGGUCAAAGGCCAAAAACCACUCACCUGUAAUCAAAAAAAGAAAAAAAAAUGGGAAAAAACGCCGAUAUAAAAGAAAAUUGAAUGAGUAAAGUAAACAGCAUAAAAAGAAGGAACUGUUUCAAAGCGCAUUUGAGGACGCGUUGCGCGGACGGACGAACAAAGCAUGGAGAUGGGUGCGGUGAUAGGUUGUGGCUGCCAUUUGCGUACGUAUUUCGUAGCCAUACAUUUGGUUGGUGUUGUUGCAUAUUUUUAGGGUAGCGCGCAUUGAUAUUGCGCUUGUUGCUGUUGUUUUUAGCGAUAGUAGUUACUUUUUUGUUGUUGUUUUAUGGACUGCAUUGCGCUACCUUCCGCUUACUACUUAUAAUUUUUUUUUGCUUUUGUUGUUGUUUUUGUUUUUGCUUGAUUUUCCUUCUUUUCGCUGUUUUCAUGAUAGAUACGCUUGUCAAAAAAUUUAUUAGCCAAGACGCAUACAGUAGCCGCCGAUAUAAAUCUUGCUGAUUGAAUAAGUUAAUUCCGUUGAGUAAUGUAAAUAAGCGCGAGAGUGUAAGGCAAGAGAGCAAAUUACAAAGGAAAUUAAGGCAAACACACGCAUACAGACACACAUAAUAAAGCCGACUGCGUGGGGAUGACAAAGGGGAUGGCAAAGCAAAAAAGAAGUCGCAGGAAUGCUGUCAUUGUCGAUUGUCAGUUUGUCACGCCCGACAUGAAUCACCUGAAAUGCGUUGUCGCAUGUUUUUAUUACAGUUAGAUACUUUGAUUAUUACUUUAUUUGUGCGCCUUUCCUCUGCGGUUUAUGUGGCUUUAUGUCAAGGGAAUUCGCAUUCUUGGCGAUUGUUGAUCGCUAAGCCGCUUUUCUCCUUCUUUCUAGCAUUUCUUUUCACUUUGAUAUUUCGACAUAAUAACGAUAAGACGUUAUGAGUAUUUCGACAUUGCGCUUAUCAGCGUAUUAGAUAUACUUUAUUUAUGAGCUGUAAUAAUGUCAGACACAGGGCAAACAACCUAACACAUCAUUACGACGGCAUCAGGGUGUGGUUGAAGCUUGCAGUGCGGGGCAUGUGGAGCAAAGUGCAAAAAUUUGCUUUACAACAACGCAAGCACACACUAAUUAGAGCAGCGUAAAUAUAGAAAAGCAAACAUAGUAUAUUAACCGAUUUUAUGGCAUGCUUUGAAAUCGUAAGAAAAUGUGUGCUCAUAACGGCGUUUGAAUGUUAGUUAACUUUGGGAGGUAUGAAAGUGACGAGAACAACGUAAUAAAUAUAAAAAUAAGUAAUAUAAUGAUUUUUAUUUUUGUUUUUGCUUUUAGAGAUGUUAUAGGUAUAAACUCGGUUCGCUUGUUAACUUGAAAAGCAAAGAAAUUUAUUAAUAAAUGGCAUACAAUGACAGCGCACGCCUUGAAAAGUAGCAGUUGCCGUUAAAACGCAGAUUUAUAUUAUAUUGAUACCACUACAUAUAGUAGGCAACCGAUUGUUAAGUAAUGAGCCAGUAGGAAAAUGUUUGAAUGAUUCAAAUAGAAACCUAAAUAUAUAUUUAUACGUAAUAUCUAGAUUUUAGCAUUGCCUUGACAAUAAUUUAUGCCAAAAUUCGUGUUAAAGAGCGUGUACAAUUAUAUACAAAUAAAUAAACGCAUUGCCUGUUUAAAAAUAAAUUCAUAAACCCGUUGAGAACUGUAGCUAUUAGUUUAGCGAACGAACAGUGAAAUCGUAAAACGAGACAGCAACAUCUUUCCUUGAUGACGGCGACAUUUAUUUACACAUAACACAUCGACAUGUACAUACUGCAUAAAUGCAGUUAUAAUAGCAAGCGUAUCUAUACCAACACAAUUAGCUGUUCCACGGCAACUUCUUGACAGCCAGAGGAAGGCAUUAAAAAAAAAAUAAUUUUCGAAAGGUGAUCUAUGCGUAAAAUAAGCACUUAUCAAAAGACAACACUAACACCUUCUUAUAUAUUGCACACAAUCGAGCGCAAUAGCUGACAUAUUCGUAAUUGGACUUGGAAAUGAAGCGCGCAACAAUUCGAUAUGACAAUCGAACAACAAAUAAAAAGGCCAACAAAUCUUGAUACAUACAUAUGUACAUACUAAUACAUAUAUGAAUAUGUGAGUAGCUCUAGCUGUAUGGAUGUGUGUACUUACUUGUACUUAGUGAAGCUGUAGCUUUGAUAAAUAAGUUGAAGCAAUAGAUGCGGCGAUAAAGCUAUAAAUCCAAUCAUUGUCAGAAAGUUAUAAAUAUAUGCACAAGCAUGUGUGUGUGUGUGUGUGUGUAAGUGUGGAAUACUGUAAGUGCUGGCAGUAAAUAAAACUGGCACCCCGAGGCGAGACAAGAUUUUGAUUUGACCAACAAAAAAAAAUAUUAAAAAAAUACAACAAUAACAACGGAAAAAGCAGACAACACUAGCGACGAGGUGGUUCAGGAUGCGAGAAGAUACAGUGUCAUUCCGAUUUCAAGAAUAUAUUGCAGCCUGACUAUUGCAUUAAGAGGAGUUAUGCUGACAACGCGGACACACCUUUUUUCGAGGGGUCACCGGAAAUGACGUUACAAUGGCGGAGGUCUCAUAUUUUUUUUUUUUGAAAAUCUGAGAAAUUGUUCUUUAAAUGUGUAUCUUUAAGAGUUUGAAUUAAAU